GGGUUAUCAGUAAUACAGGUGUUUGUUCCAAUCCUCUUCUAGAUCUACGAGAGACAGCUGAGCUGGUGUCCUCUUCCGGAGUGAUCCUCCUCAAAGCUCCUGACUUGGAAAAGGACGCAAAUAUAUCAGGAGGACAGAGACAUUGAUAUGUGUGACAUUCUUGAAUGAGACAGCCAUCCAUGUAAAUUUAAAGCAGGUCAUGUGUGUACCAUUGCAUUCACAUGCACUGACGUGUAUAAUCAGAUUAUAUAAUAUAAUAAUAAUAAUAACACUAAAUGUAUAAUCAGAUUAAAUAAUUAAUAUAAUGACACUGAAUGUAUAUUGCAAUUCACAUUAAGAGUAGCCUAACCCCUGUCUACACACACACACACAAACAAACACACACACAUGCAUACAUUACUAAGCAGAUCAACCAAAUUGAAAUUAUUAAAAUGAAUCAGACUUCAACGUAAUGCUCUACAACAUGUCGACUUGAAAACUUUUUUUAUUAAUUUAUUUAUUUUUGUCCCCCAAGUUACCAUUAGCUCAAUGUUGUUUUCUGUGCCACCGGUAAUGCUUUAGGAAUGCACAUGUUUUUAUAUGCAGUUGAAAGGGUCUAUAUGUAAGACAGCUUUCACUGCAUGACCUCACCAACGAACCAUACAGCCAAAAGAUGCCAGUGAGUAUUCUAGCUAGGAGUGCCAACGGAAAUGUUCCCUGGUUUUUGUAUGCUUUUAAGGGAGGCAACUUGUUCUUUUUUUCCUUUUUUUUUUUACCAAUUCUCCAGAAAUGCUUGUUUUUUUUUCUUUUUUCAGAGCUCAUAGAUUCCCCCAGAGCUGCAUGGCACUGCAGUAAGAAGCAGGACAGCACGUCCUGUGCCACCAUCUUGGCUCCUGUCACCCGGCGGUGUCCCCAGUUGCCUUUGAACAGGCUGUAAUGGGAUUGGGUCUUCGCCAUUGUUGCUUUUAAUUGGCUCUGAGAUGGUUUGGGGGGCUUGGGCAGAUUUUGGGGCUCCUCUUUUGUAUUUGUCGACACUACUUUCUCUCUCUCUCUCUCUCCCUCUCUGUCUCUGUCUAUUCCUCUCUGGGUAGGGUGGUGGAGCUGGGCUCAUGUCAGCCUGCUCUCCCUCUCUCUCUCUCUCCAUCUCUCUCACUCCCUCUCUCUCUCUCUCACUUGUUCGCUCUAAUGCUUAGGUGUAUGAUACUUAUCAGUCAGGAGGAUGGCUGCCUUUCUCCUGAGCCAUCCACGGGGUGAAUGGGUGAUAAUAUGAUGUGAAAGAGAGGUGAAUGGUGACAGAGUGAGAGAGGGAGCGUGUUGGAGAGGAAGUGUGUGUGCUGAAAUGUUGCUUUUCAUUCACUUUUCCUCAGCACAUCUGCUAUUAGAGGUUUAGGUUAUCUAGAUAGAUCUUGCUAUCAAUCUCAAGGUUUUAUGUACCAAGAAGGCAUUUUUUUCUACCUUGUAAAAUGUAAAGUUAUUCCAUGUUUUGUGAAAGGUAGUAAAUAUGAUUAUAUCACAUUUUUUAUUAAAAAUGUUUUCGAAAAAGGUGGUUUAGUUUCAAUUGACUAUCAUACUCAUGUCAUUUUUGGGGUCUAACUUUGGUGUGUGUACGUGUAUAUCUGUGUGUGUGUACAUGCUUAUGCAUGAAUUUGUAUUUA